rnacentral:rRNA from 1 species
UCAAGCGACUAAGUGCAUCUGGUGGAUGCCUUGGCGAUCACAGGCGAUGAAGGACGUGUAAGCCUGCGAAAAGCUUCGGGGAGCUGGCAAUAGAGCGAUGAUCCGGAGAUGUCCGAAUGGGGAAACCCACCUAGCAAUAGGUACUCCUUGCUGAACACAUAGGCAAGGUAGAGCGAACGCGGAGAACUGAAACAUCUAAGUACCCGCAGGAACAGAAAUCAACCGAGAUUCCGUCAGUAGUGGCGAGCGAACGCGGAACAGCCUGUACGUGUUAUGGAUUGUGUUAGUGGAAGGCUCUGGAAAUGGCCGCCAUAGUGGGUGAUAGCCCCGUACACGAAAACGCAUUCCAAGGACUAGGCGUACGACAAGUAGGGCGGGACACGCGAAAUCCUGUCUGAAGAUGGGGGGACCAUCCUCCAAGGCUAAAUACUCGUGAUCGACCGAUAGUGAACCAGUACCGUGAGGGAAAGGCGAAAAGAACCCCGGGAGGGGAGUGAAAUAGAACCUGAAACCGGAUGCAUACAAACAGUGGGAGCCCCAGCUUAAAGCACCUUGGGUUCUUUGUCGGCGCAGCCGACAAAAGAACUUUCAAGAAGAAAUAGAACUUUAAGCUGGCCUUAAAGCAGGAUGCUUUAAGCUGGGGUGACUGCGUACCUUUUGUAUAAUGGGUCAGCGACUUACGUUCAGUAGCGAGCUUAACCGAAUAGGGGAGGCGUAGGGAAACCGAGUCCGAACAGGGCGAUUGAGUUGCUGGGCGUAGACCCGAAACCGAGUGAUCUAUCCAUGGCCAGGAUGAAGGUGCGGUAACACGCACUGGAGGUCCGAACCCACUAGUGUUGCAAAACUAGGGGAUGAGCUGUGGAUAGGGGUGAAAGGCUAAACAAACUCGGAGAUAGCUGGUUCUCCCCGAAAACUAUUUAGGUAGUGCCUCAUGUAUCACUUCCGGGGGUAAAGCACUGUUAUGGCUAGGGGGUCAUUGCGAUUUACCAAACCAUGGCAAACUCAGAAUACCGGAAAGUGCGAGCAUGGGAGACAGACGGUGGGUGCUAACGUCCAUCGUCAAGAGGGAAACAACCCAGACCGCCGGCUAAGGUCCCAAAUGAUCAGUUAAGUGGUAAACGAAGUGGGAAGGCCCAGACAGCCAGGAUGUUGGCUUAGAAGCAGCCAUCAUUUAAAGAAAGCGUAAUAGCUCACUGGUCGAGUCGUCCUGCGCGGAAGAUGUAACGGGGCUCAAACUGAUAACCGAAGCCGCGGAUUUGCACUUAGGUGCAGAUGGUAGGGGAGCGUUCUGUAGGUCUGUGAAGGUGUGUCGUAAGGCAUGCUGGAGAUAUCAGAAGUGCGAAUGCUGACAUGAGUAGCGAUAAAGCGGGUGAAAAGCCCGCUCGCCGAAAGCCCAAGGUUUCCUACGCAACGUUCAUCGGCGUAGGGUGAGUCGGCCCCUAAGGCGAGGCUGAAAAGCGUAGUCGAUGGGAAACGGGUCAAUAUUCCCGUACUCUCGUAUAGUGCGAUGUGGGGACGGAGAAGGUUAGGUCAGCCAGGUGUUGGACGUCCUGGUUUAAGCCGGUAGGUGGGAGCGGUAGGCAAAUCCGCCGCUCUAUUAACACCGAGACGUGAUGACGAGGCUCUACGGAGCCGAAGUGACUGAUACCACGCUUCCAGGAAAAGCCACUAAGCUUCAGCUAUACGAGAACCGUACCGCAAACCGACACAGGUGGGCAGGAUGAAAAUUCUAAGGCGCUUGAGAGAACUCAGGAGAAGGAACUCGGCAAAUUGAUACCGUAACUUCGGGAGAAGGUAUGCCUCUUAGGGUGUAGGACCUCGCGUUCGAAGCCUCGAGAGGUCGCAGAGAAUCGGUGGCUGCGACUGUUUAUCAAAAACACAGCACUGUGCCAACACGAAAGUGGACGUAUACGGUGUGACGCCUGCCCGGUGCCGGAAGGUUAAGUGAUGGGGUGCAAGCUCUUGAUCGAAGCCCCGGUAAACGGCGGCCGUAACUAUAACGGUCCUAAGGUAGCGAAAUUCCUUGUCGGGUAAGUUCCGACCCGCACGAAUGGCGUAACGAUGGCCACACUGUCUCCUCCUGAGACUCAGCGAAGUUGAAAUGUUUGUGAAGAUGCAAUCUCCCCGCUGCUAGACGGAAAGACCCCGUGAACCUUUACUGUAGCUUUGCAUUGGACUUUGAACAGACUUGUGUAGGAUAGGUGGGAGGCUAUGAAACCAGGACGCCAGUUCUGGUGGAGCCGCCCUUGAAAUACCACCCUGGUGUGUUUGAGGUUCUAACCUUGGUCCGUGAUCCGGAUCGGGGACAGUGCAUGGUAGGCAGUUUGACUGGGGCGGUCUCCUCCCAAAGUGUAACGGAGGAGUUCGAAGGUCACCUAGGUACGGUCGGAAAUCGUGCUGAUAGUGCAAUGGCAAAAGGUGGCUUAACUGCGAGACCGACAAGUCGAGCAGGUGCGAAAGCAGGACAUAGUGAUCCGGUGGUUCUGAAUGGAAGGGCCAUCGCUCAACGGAUAAAAGGUACUCCGGGGAUAACAGGCUGAUUCCGCCCAAGAGUUCACAUCGACGGCGGAGUUUGGCACCUCGAUGUCGGCUCAUCACAUCCUGGGGCUGUAGCCGGUCCCAAGGGUAUGGCUGUUCGCCAUUUAAAGUGGUACGUGAGCUGGGUUCAAAACGUCGUGAGACAGUUUGGUCCCUAUCUGCAGUGGGCGUUGGAAGUUUGACGGGGGCUGCUCCUAGUACGAGAGGACCGGAGUGGACGCACCUCUGGUGUACCGGUUGUCACGCCAGUGGCAUUGCCGGGUAGCUAAGUGCGGAAGAGAUAACCGCUGAAAGCAUCUAAGCGGGAAACUCGCCUGAAGAUGAGACUUCCCUGAGGACUUGAUCCUCCUGAAGAGUCGUUCGAGACCAGGACGUUGAUAGGUCGGGUGUGGAAGCGCUGUGAGGCGUGAAGCUAACCGAUACUAAUUGCUCGUGAGGCUUGAUCCU